GACGAACGCUGGCGGCGUGCUUAACACAUGCAAGUCGAACGGAAAGGCCCUGCUUUUGUGGGGUGCUCGAGUGGCAAACGGGUGAGUAACACGUGAGUAACCUGCCCUCGACUGUGGGAUAACGUCAGUAAACUGUGGCUAAUACCGGAUAGGAGCUCCUGCUGCAUGGUGGGGGUUGGAAAGUUUCGGCGGUUGGGGAUGGACACGCGGCUUAUCAGCUUGUGGGUGGGGUAGUGGCUUACCAAGGCUUUGACGGGUAGCCGGCCUGAGAGGGUGACCGGCCACAUUGGGGCUGAGAUACGGCGCAGACUCCUACGGGAGGGAGAGGUGGGGAAUAUUGCACAAUGGGCGGAAGACUGAUGCGGAAACGCCGCGUGCGGGAUGAGGGCGUUCGGGGUGUAAACCGCUUUCGCCUGGGAGGAGGCGUGAGUGACGGUACUGGGGAAAGAAGCACGGGUUACCUACGG
rnacentral:rRNA from 1 species